UACGUAGGGGGCUAGCGUUGUCCGGAAUCAUUGGGCGUAAAGCGCGCGUAGGCGGCCCGGUAAGUCCGCUGUGAAAGUCCAGGGCUCAACCCUGGAAAGCCGGUGGAUACUGCCGGGCUAGAGUCCGGAAGAGGCGAGUGGAAUUCCUGGUGUAGCGGUGGAAUGCGCAGAUAUCAGGAGGAACACCGAUGGCGAAGGCAGCUCGCUGGGACGGUACUGACGCUGAGGCGCGAAAGCUAGGGGAGCGAACGGG
rnacentral:rRNA from 1 species